rnacentral:rRNA from 1 species
AAUAUUGGACAAUGGGGGCAACCCUGACCUAGCCAUGCCGUGUGUGUUAAGAAGAUCUUCGGUUUGUAAAGCACUUUAAUUUGGGAGGAAGGGCCUUAGGUUAAUACCCUGACAUUUUGACUUAACCGACAGAUUAAGCACUGCCGAACUCUCAUCCUGCAGCCGCGGUAAUACAGUGGGUGCAAGCGUUAAUCGGAAUUACUGGGCGUAAAGCGCGCGUAGGUGGUUCAGUAAGAUGGGUGUGAAAUCCCCGGGCUUAACCUGGGAACUGCUUUCAUAACUGCUGAGCUAGAGUACGGUAGAGGGUAGUGGAAUUUCCUGUGUAGCGGUGAAAUGCGUAGAUAUAGGAAGGAACACCAGUGGCGAAGGCGACUACCUGGACUGAUACUGACACUGAGGUGCGAAAGCGUGGGGAGCAAA